AUUGAACGCUGGCGGCAGGCCUAACACAUGCAAGUCGAACGGCAGCACGGGAGCUUGCUCCUGGUGGCGAGUGGCGAACGGGUGAGUAACAUAUCGGAACGUAUCCAAUAAUGGGGGAUAACGAGUCGAAAGAUUCGCUAAUACCGCAUACGCCCUGAGGGGGAAAGCUGGGGAUCGUAAGACCUGGCGUUAAUGGAGCG
rnacentral:rRNA from 1 species